CAGGGAGACAUUUAAUUGAUUGUGAUGUCUAAGUAAUUUAUCUUAGGCCGCAAUCCUGUCACCUUAAGGUCGAUCGGUACCUCAGAUUUUUGUAUUAAUUUUAUAAUUAAUCAUUUAAUUUCAGUUCCUAAACUUGUCUAGGUCACACCCAACAAGGGUUUCUCCUGGGCCAUUAGCUCAGGUGGUUAGAGCGCACCCCUGAUAAGGGUGAGGUCCCUGGUUCAAGUCCAGGAUGGCCCAUUCGUUGUUGGGGGUAUAGCUCAGUUGGUAGAGCGCCUGCUUUGCAAGCAGGAUGUCAGCGGUUCGAGUCCGCUUACCUCCACUGAAAACUACCCUGGUAACUAAAUUCCGGAGAAAUUUGUAUGUGUGACUUAGAUUGUCUAUUUGAAUAGAACCUAGCUUCUUAUCAUCUUUUCAUAGUUGAUAACAUGCUGGGCUCUAAUGGAUUGAUUCCAUCUGAAUUCAGUAGAACCUUGAAAACUGCAUAGAUUAAUAAGAAUAAAGCAUCUCAUGGAUGCAUAAUUCUGUUCAAUAAUUUGGCUUUAAAACCAAAUUAUUAAUAAACAGAAUUCAUGUUUAAUUCUUGAGUAAUAGCCGAGCACAAUUGAUUUUGUGAUUGUAUUUAA
rnacentral:tRNA from 1 species